UACGAAGGGGGCUAGCGUUGCUCGGAAUCACUGGGCGUAAAGGGUGCGUAGGCGGUCUUUUAAGUCAGGGGUGAAAUCCUGGAGCUCAACUCCAGAACUGCCUUUGAUACUGAGAGACUUGAGUCCGGGAGAGGUGAGUGGAACUGCGAGUGUAGAGGUGAAAUUCGUAGAUAUUCGCAAGAACACCAGUGGCGAAGGCGGCUCACUGGCCCGGUACUGACGCUGAGGUGCGAAAGCGUGGGGAGCAAACAGGG
rnacentral:rRNA from 1 species